rnacentral:rRNA from 1 species
UACGAAGGGGGCUAGCGUUGUUCGGAAUUACUGGGCGUAAAGCGCGCGCAGGCGGUCUGUCGCGUCGGCUGUGAAAUCCCGGAGCUCAACUCCGGGUCUGCAGUCGGUACGGGCAAACUGGAGUACUGCAGGGGAGACUGGAAUUCCUGGUGUAGCGGUGAAAUGCGCAGAUAUCAGGAGGAACACCGGUGGCGAAGGCGGGUCUCUGGGCAGUAACUGACGCUGAGGAGCGAAAGCGUGGGGAGCGAACAGG